UAGGCACACUUUGUUACUCCACGCAUCCUUCGCCGCGCAGGAUCCCCCGGGCUAAUUGAGAACAGGACCUGAAAGGCAUCCAUCCUGCUCACAUAGUAUAUUGCGCAAACGGGAUAAAAUAUGAACGGUAUUCGCUUACCAACUGCGUUCUACGUGUCAACGGGAUAGGCGAAGAAGGAAACAUUUCACCGGUGUCCUUACAAAUUGAUGGAAUGGAUCUGGAACAUAUUCUAAAUUGGCCCUCGACGCCUGAGGAAGAGAAUUUCCUGAAUUCGGUCCUCGAGACUCUGACGAAGUACGACGAGAAUGGCGCCCGCUACGUCGACGCCGAAUCCGUGAUCCUGGUUGUUCACAGACUGUGGGCUUGACAAGGGCUGAUAUAAACACAAUUACGCAGCAUGUAAUCGUGUUUAUCAAACAAUUCUUAAUUAUUUACAUGUGUUUGGAAUAUUUACUCACCUUCUAUGACUGUUUAUAUUUUACACCGUGGGCUUAGUGUCGAAUUUAUUUGCAUGUAAAUCUAAAUUAUAUUCUAUUAAUAUAUUAUGUAGCUCAGUGUGA